rnacentral:rRNA from 1 species
ACCAACAGUUAUACCACCCUGCAACUCCACGCUGGCAGCCCACUGAAGCUCAGCAGGUGUGAGCCUGGUCAGUACCUGGAUGGGAGACCUCCUGGGAAAGCUAAGGCUGCUGCUGGAA